rnacentral:rRNA from 1 species
GGGGAACUGAUAUGACGGUCUACCUGGCCCACUGAAAAUUUUUAAAUGGCCGCAGUAUAUUAACUGUGCAAAGGUAGCAUAAUCAUUAGUCUUUUAAUUGAAGGCUGGAAUGAAUGGUUGGACGUAAUAUUAACUGUUUCAAAUUAAAUUAAAUUAGAACUUUAUUUUUUAGUAAAAAAGCUAAAAUUUUAUUAAAAGACGAGAAGACCCUAUAAAUCUUUAUAAUUUGUUUAUUUUAAUUAUAAAGAAUAAUUUUAUUAUAAUAAAUUAAAUUAUUUUAUUGGGGUGAUAUUAAAAUUUAAUAAACUUUUAAUUUAUUAAAUCAUUAAUUUAUGAAUAAUUGAUCCAAUUUUAUUGAUUAAAAAUUUAAGUUACUUUAGGGAUAACAGCGUAAUUUUUUUGGAGAGUUCAUAUCGAUAAAAAAGAUUGCGACCUCGAUGUUGGAUUAAGAGAUAAGUUUAGGGGUAGCCAUUUAAACGUUAAGUCUGUUCGACUUUUAAAUUCUUACGUGAUCUGAGUCCCAGACCGGGA